rnacentral:rRNA from 1 species
UACAGAGGGGGCAAGCGUUAUUCGGAAUUACUGGGCGUAAAGCGUGCGCAGGCGGUUUUGUAAGCCAGAUGUGAAAUCCCCGGGCUUAACCUGGGAAUGGCAUUUGGGACUGCAAGGCUUGAGUGUGUCAGAGGGAGGUGGAAUUCCGCGUGUAGCAGUGAAAUGCGUAGAUAUGCGGAGGAACACCGAUGGCGAAGGCAGCCUCCUGGGAUAACACUGACGCUCAUGCACGAAAGCGUGGGGAGCAACAGG